GAUUAUUUAACUAAUAAAAGUAUUUAUUUUGAAAAUAAAAAAUAGAAGUAUCUUCUAAUAAUCU